UACAGAGGUCCGAAGCGUUGUUCGGAUUCACUGGGCGUAAAGGGUGCGUAGGUGGUUAGGUAAGUCCGAUGUGAAAUCUCCAGGCUCAACCUGGAAAUGGCAUUGGAUACUAUCUAGCUUGAGGAGUGGAGGGGGGACUGGAAUUCUCGGUGUAGCAGUGAAAUGCGUAGAUAUCGAGAGGAACACCAGUGGCGAAGGCGAGUCCCUGGACACUUCCUGACACUGAGGCACGAAAGCUAGGGGAGCAAACAGG
rnacentral:rRNA from 1 species